GGCUAUACGACAUUGAAACAACGUUUCUCAUACGAUUAGCGAAGUUAAGCAACGUCAAGCCUUGUCAGUAGCUAGAUGGGUGACUGCUUGGGAAUACCGGGUGAUGUAAG